UGCCGACUGGGUGCCUGCACUAAGUUCGGCAUCAAUAUGGUGACUUCCUGGGAGAGGGGUCCACCAAGUUGCCUAAGGAUAGCUGAACUGGCCCAGGUCAGAAAUGGAGCAGGUCAGAACUCCAGCACUGACCAGUAGUGGGACUGUGCCUAGGCA
rnacentral:sRNA from 1 species